GACGAACGCUGGCGGCGUGCUUAACACAUGCAAGUCGAACGGAAAGGCCCUGCUUUUGUGGGGUGCUCGAGUGGCGAACGGGUGAGUAACACGUGAGUAACCUGCCCUUGACUUUGGGAUAACUUCAGGAAACUGGGGCUAAUACCGGAUAGGAGCUCCUGCUGCAUGGUGGGGGUUGGAAAGUUUCGGCGGUUGGGGAUGGACUCGCGGCUUAUCAGCUUGUUGGUGGGGUAGUGGCUUACCAAGGCUUUGACGGGUAGCCGGCCUGAGAGGGUGACCGGCCACAUUGGGACUGAGAAGCGGCCCAGACUCCUACGGGAGGCAGCAGUGGGGAAUAUGGCACAAUGGGCGGAAGCCUGAUGCAGCAACGCCGCGUGCGGGAUGACGGCCUUCGGGUUGUAAACCGCUUUCGCCGGUGACGAAGCGUGAGUGACGGUAAUGGGUAAAGAAGCACCGGCUAACUACGUG
rnacentral:rRNA from 1 species